CGUGUAGGCGGGUUAUUAAGUCAGAUGUGAAAUACCGAGGCUCAACCUCGGGGCUGCAUUUGAAACUGAUAAUCUUGAGUGCUGGAGAGGAAAGCGGAAUUCCUAGUGUAGCGGUGAAAUGCGUAGAUAUUAGGAGGAACACCAGUGGCGAAGGCGGCUUUCUGGACAGUAACUGACGCUGAGGCGCGAAAGCGUGGGGAGCAAACAGGAUUAGAUACCCUGGUAGUCCACGCUGUAAACGAUGGAUACUAGGUGUAGGGGGUAUCGACCCCCCCUGUGCCGGAGUUAACACAAUAAGUAUCCCACCUGGGGAGUACGGCCGCAAGGUUGAA
rnacentral:rRNA from 1 species